GAUGAACGCUAGCGGCAGGCUUAAUACAUGCAAGUCGAGGGGCAGCGCAGUGUAUCAAUACACUGGCGGCGACCGGCAAACGGGUGCGGAACACGUACGCAACCUACCCAUAACUGAUGAAUAUCCCUCCGAAAGGAGGAUUAAUACAUCGGAACUUAAUGAAGCGGCAUCGCUUUAUUAAUAUAGCUCCGGCGGGUUUUGAUGGGCGUGCGCCUGAUUAGGUAGUUGGCGGGGUAACGGCCCACCAAGCCUGCGAUCAGUAACUGGUGUGAGAGCACGACCAGUCAAACGGGCACUGAGACACGGGCCCGACUCCUACGGGAGGAAGCAGUAAGGAAUAUUCGUCAAUGGACGCAAGUCUGAACCAGCCAUGCCGCGUGAAGGAUGAAGGUCCUGUGGAUUGUAAACUUCUUUUGAAUGGGACGAACCCUCUUUUCCUUGAGAGACUGACGGUACCAUUAGAAUAAGCACCGGCUAACUACGUG
rnacentral:rRNA from 1 species